GAUGAACGCUGGCGGCGUGCCUAAUACAUGCAAGUCGAGCGAACGGACGAGAAGCUUGCUUCUCUGAUGUUAGCGGCGGACGGGUGAGUAACACGUGGAUAACCUACCUAUAAGACUGGGAUAACUUCGGGAAACCGGAGCUAAUACCGGAUAAUAUUUUGAACCGCAUGGUUCAAAAGUGAAAGACGGUCUUGCUGUCACUUAUAGAUGGAUCCGCGCUGCAUUAGCUAGUUGGUAAGUUAACGGCUUACCAAGGCAACGAUGCAUAGCCGACCUGAGAGGGGGAUCGCCCACACUGGAACUGAGACGCGGUCCAGACUCCUACGGGAGGCAGCAGUAGGGAAUCUUCCGCAAUGGGCGAAAGCCUGGCGGAGCAACGCCGCGUGAGUGAUGAAGGUCUUCGGAUCGUAAAGCUCUGUUAUUAGGGAAGAACAUAUGUGUCAGUAACUGUGCCCAUAUUGACGGUACCUAAUCAGAAAGCAACGGCUAACUACGUG
rnacentral:rRNA from 1 species